AUUGAACACUGGCGGCAGGCCUAACACAUGCAAGUCGAGCGGAUGAAGGGAGCUUGUUCCUGGAUUCAGCGGGGGACGGGGGAGUAAUGCCUAGGAAUCUGCCUGGUAGUGGGGGAUGACGUCCGGAAACGGGCGCUGAUACCGCAUACGUCCUGAGGGUGAAAGUGGGGGAUCUUCGGACCUCACGCUAUCAGAUGAGCCUAGGUCGGAUUAGCUAGUUGGUGGGGUAAAGGCCUACCAAGGCGACGAUCCGUAGCUGGUCUGAGAGGAUGAUCAGUCACACUGGAACUGAGACACGCUCCAGACUCCUACGGGAGGCAGCAGUGGGGAAUAUUGGGCAAUGGGCGAAAGCCUGACCCAGCCAUGCCGCGUGUGUGAAGAAGGUCUUCGGAUUGUAAAGCACUUUUAGUUGGGAGGAACGGCAGUAAGUUAAUACCUUGCUGUUUUGACGUUACCAACAGAAUAAGCACCGGCUAACUACGUG
rnacentral:rRNA from 1 species